GAGGGUAUAGCUCAGUGGUAGAGUGUGUGUUUAGCAUGCAUGAGGUCCUGGGUUCAAUCCCCAGUACCUCUA
rnacentral:tRNA from 1 species